rnacentral:rRNA from 1 species
GGCUGUCGUCAGCUCGUGCCGUGAGGUGUUGGGUUAAGUCCCGCAACGAGCGCAACCCCUGUCUUCAGUUACCAACGGGUCAUGCCGGGAACUCUGGAGAGACUGCCCAGGAGAACGGGGAGGAAGGUGGGGAUGACGUCAAGUCAGCAUGGCCUUUAUGCCUGGGGCCACACACGUGCUACAAUGGCCGGUACAAAGCGCUGCAAACUCGUAAGGGGGAGCCAAUCGCAAAAAACCGGCCUCAGUUCAGAUUGAGGUCUGCAACUCGACCUCAUGAAGGCGGAAUCGCUAGUAAUCCCGGAUCAGCACGCCGGGGUGAAUACGUUCCCGGGCCUUGUACACACCGCCCGU